UGUUUUUUUUUUCAUUUUGACAACCUAAUAGGCGGUUCUAAUAUGCCAAAAAGAAGUUGCUUCCCUAUAAAAACAAAGUUGCCUCCAUUGCACCUAAAGUUGCUCACAGAAAAAGUUCGACGAAACAUAUUCAUAUGGGAUCUAAUUUUGAAGAACUAGUCGUGAAAAAUCCAGCGGUGAAAACGUAUCUGAAUUUUGGUGCUCAAAUCAAAAGUUAUGACUUUUAAAAAACUGAACCCCAAAUAAGUGUAAGCUACAAAACGAGCGCGGGUAUCUUGGCUGAUUCACACAAACGAGCGCCGGUGCACUCCCUAUCCACGUUCAUAUAAACAGCCCCUAAAUAUGCAAGGGUCGAUCUCAUCUAAAUACGGUGACAAGUGAAGGAUGAAAAAUGGGCAGUAUUCUUCGUAUUUGACAAAAGAUUGCCAAGGAUAAGAAAGCUGCUAGGCCUAAUAGGUUCCACCAGCUGGAAAGUAGGGUCACUGACGGUUAGUGAUUGGAGAUGUUAUACUUGUCGGAGAAAUGAUUAGGCAAAGAAGGUUAUAUGGAAGGACAUUGUUACAAGUGCACCUAUUGGUAACACAGAUUUUGGUCAUAGCAAAUCAAGAAGGGAUUUUAAGCUUCGCUUUGAUAAUGACAAGGCUAGAUAGUAGAGAACACCCAUCUAGUGACUUAGUAGUGGUUAAUCUUUUUGCUAUUGCUCUGAGUAAACUUAUAAAUUCCGUUCUCCACAUCAUUCCGAUAUAUCGCAAGCUUUAAAAAGAUACCGUGAGCUUUUUCUACCUAACGCAAUCAUACGUCACAGCCGUGUAGAUUUACACUCCAGUAGGAAGUUUCCACACUCUUAACAGCUAGUAGGCAGAAAUACGAAAGGCAAGGUAUUAUCUAAGUCAUACUUAAAAUGCACUGCAUGAGAAGGAUAAUUCAGUGGUACCGAGGUGCCUCCUCUAAUCCUGAGUUGCCUAAUAGUGUUUCUGACGAACCAUGUACAAAAUGAGACCAGCCCGGGAAGAUAGCAACCGAAAUCCCCAAAAUAAGCUGCAACAUCGCAGCAAGUCGUUGGAGCGUAUCCACCAUCAGCAAGCUUGCAACCUACCACCAAUACUAAUCAAGCCAGAUAUCUGUAUGUGUUGGCGUUGUCCUUGUCCCGCUCCAGGUA
rnacentral:lncRNA from 1 species